CAGGCCUAACACAUGCAAGUCGAGCGGAAACGAGUUAUCUGAACCUUCGGGGAACGAUAACGGCGUCGAGCGGCGGACGGGUGAGUAAUGCCUGGGAAAUUGCCCUGAUGUGGGGGAUAACCAUUGGAAACGAUGGCUAAUACCGCAUAAUAGCUUCGGCUCAAAGAGGGGGACCUUCGGGCCUCUCGCGUCAGGAUAUGCCCAGGUGGGAUUAGCUAGUUGGUGAGGUAAGGGCUCACCAAGGCGACGAUCCCUAGCUGGUCUGAGAGGAUGAUCAGCCACACUGGAACUGAGACACGGUCCAGACUCCUACGGGAGGCAGCAGUGGGGAAUAUUGCACAAUGGGCGCAAGCCUGAUGCAGCCAUGCCGCGUGUAUGAAGAAGGCCUUCGGGUUGUAAAGUACUUUCAGCAGUGAGGAAGGCGGGUGCUGUUAAUAGCGCAAUCGCUUUGACGUUAGCUGCAGAAGAAGCACCGGCUAACUCCGUGCCAGCAGCCGCGGUAAUACGGAGGUGUGCGAGCGAUUAAUCGGA
rnacentral:rRNA from 1 species